UGUACCUGUUGACUGACUCUGGUUCAACAAAACCAAUUUUACUUUUGUUGAACUAGAGUGGGUCAACGGGUACCCA
rnacentral:pre_miRNA from 1 species